CGUGUAGGCGGGAAGGAAAGUCAGAUGUGAAAUCCCCAGGCUCAACCUGGGAACUGCAUUUGAAACUCCCUUUCUUGAGUACCGGAGAGGAAAGUGGAAUUCCUGGUGUAGAGGUGAAAUUCGUAGAUAUCAGGAGGAACACCAGUGGCGAAGGCGGCUUUCUGGACGGUAACUGACGCUGAGACGCGAAAGCGUGGGGGAGAAC
rnacentral:rRNA from 1 species